GGCUCAGAUUGAACGCUGGCGGCAUGCCUUACACAUGCAAGUCGAACGGCAGCACGGACUUCGGUCUGGUGGCGAGUGGCGAACGGGUGAGUAAUGUAUCGGAACGUACCUUCAGUGGGGAUAACGUAGCGAAAGUUACGCUAAUACCGCAUAUUCUGUGAGCAGGAAAGCAGGGGAUCGCAAGACCUUGCGCUGAUUGAGCGGCCGAUAUCAGAUUAGCUAGUUGGUGGGGUAAAGGCUCACCAAGGCGACGAUCUGUAGCGGGUCUGAGAGGAUGAUCCGCCACACUGGAACUGAGACACGGUCCAGACUCCUACGGGAGGCAGCAGUGGGGAAUUUUGGACAAUGGGGGCAACCCUGAUCCAGCCAUGCCGCGUGAGUGAAGAAGGCCUUCGGGUUGUAAAGCUCUUUCGGCCGGGAAGAAAUCGCAUGGGCUAAUACCCUGUGCGGAUGACGGUACCGGCAUAAGAAGCACCGGCUAACUACGUG
rnacentral:rRNA from 1 species